UACGAAGGGGGCUAGCGUUGCUCGGAAUCACUGGGCGUAAAGGGUGCGUAGGCGGGUCUUUAAGUCAGGGGUGAAAUCCUGGAGCUCAACUCCAGAACUGCCUUUGAUACUGAAGAUCUUGAGUUCGGGGAGAGGUGAGUGGAACUGCGAGUGUAGAGGUGAAAUUCGUAGAUAUUCGCAAGAACACCAGUGGCGAAGGCGGCCAACUGGACCAGUACUGACGCUGAGGCGCGAAAGCGUGGGGGAGCAAACAGGG
rnacentral:rRNA from 1 species